rnacentral:rRNA from 1 species
GACGAACGCUGGCGGCGUGCUUAACACAUGCAAGUCGAACGGAAAGGCCCCUUUGGGGGUACUCGAGUGGCGAACGGGUGAGUAACACGUGAGUAACCUGCCCUUGACUUCGGGAUAACUUCAGGAAACUGGGGCUAAUACCGGAUAGGAAUCCUUGCUGCAUGGUGGGGGUUGGAAAGCUUCGGCGGUUUUGGAUGGACUCGCGGCUUAUCAGCUUGUUGGUGGGGUAGUGGCUUACCAAGGCUUUGACGGGUAGCCGGCCUGAGAGGGCGACCGGCCAAAUUGGGGACGGGGUUCGGGCCAGACUCCCUCGGGGGGGAGGAGUGGGGAAUAAUGGACAAUGGGGCGGAGCCCGAAGGAGCAACGGCGCGGGCCGGAUGACCGGCUUCGGGGUGGUAAACGGCUUUCGGCGGGGGGGAGGUUGGUGUGAAGGUAACUGGCGAAGAAGCAACGGCUAACUACGUG